rnacentral:rRNA from 1 species
UACAGAGACUGCAAGCGUUAUUCGGAUUCACUGGGCGUAAGGGUGCGUAGGCGGGUCUUUAAGUCAGGGGUGAAAUCCUGGAGCUCAACUCCAGAACUGCCUUUGAUACUGAGGAUCUUGAGUUCGGGAGAGGUGAGUGGAACUGCGAGUGUAGAGGUGAAAUUCGUAGAUAUUCGCAAGAACACCAGUGGCGAAGGCGGCUCACUGGCCCGAUACUGACGCUGAGGCACGAAAGCGUGGGAGCAAACAGG